ensembl:lncRNA
GCUGAAGCGGAGUGCACAAACUUAACCACUACGCCACUGGGCCAGCCCCUAAUAGACUUUAUUUUUUAGAGCAGUUUUAGGUUCACAGCAAAAUUGAGUGGAAAGUACAGAGUUCCCAUAUACCCCCAUCCCCACACAAGCACAACCGCCUCAUAUUCAUUCGUUUUUCAAAUUGUAUUCCAGACACUGCCCUGGACCAAGGCCUAGCCCUGUUCUCAAGGCACUUCCAGUUCAGUAAAGUAGACAAAAGAGCAGAUAGACCAGCCUGAGGAGGGGGUAAGGGAUGGAGCAGAGGACCCUGCCAAGGUGAUGAGAACCUCCUUGUUAGAGGUCUUGGGAUAUGAACACCCUCCUCUCACCAGCAUGCUGGAAAGGAGACUCACAGGUUCUGAGCACUGUGUGUCAGGCCCUUCGCAUGUGUGACUACUUCAUCUGUCAUCCUGUGAGAAAGUGAUCUCCAGGUGCCAUAAGCAUGCCUUCAGGAUGGGAUGUCUAGCCCCAAGACAAAGAACCAAUCUCCAGACAUUUGAGAGAAGUCUUCAAUAUGUAAGAGAGUCCAAAACAACAGAAAAAGGAACUCAGAAACAAAGAUCUCAGAAACAAGGAUGCUGCAAAGAGCAGAAAAAAACUUUAAAGAAACUAUUGAUGAUAAUCUCAGGAAGACUGGAAGAAAUACUGCGUCCUGAAACAAGAACAAGAUGCCACAAAAGGGGAAAAGUCAAAGAACAAAGCAAGGAAGAUCUCACACUGAAUGAAAAAAGAAAUGAAUAGAUGCCAACCUCAAGAUGACAGAGGUGUGAGAAUUAUCUGAGGAAGAUUUUAAAGCAACCAUCAUAAAAUUCUUCACUAAGCACUUGCGAACACACUUGAAACAAAUGAAAAAAGACAAAGUCUCAGGAAAGAAAUACAAGAUAUAAAGAAGAACCAAAUGGAAAUUUUAGAACUGAAAAAUACAAUAACUAAAAUUAAAAACUCUGUGGAUGUGCUCAACGGCAGAAUGGAGGGGGACAGAAGAAAGAAUCCAUGGACUGGAAACUAGAACAUGAAAAAUUACCCAAUCUGAACAACAGAGAGAAAAUAGACUGAAAAAAACGGUGAACAGAGCCUCAGAGACCUAUGGGACUAUAACAAAAGAUCUAAUAAUGGUGUCAUUGGCAUCUAAGGGGAGAAGCACAUGUGGGAUGGGAUAUAUUGUGAUGGCCAUCCUUGGAAAAUAUAAUUGCCUAUAUCCAUGUUGAUGCACGGAGCUAUAGUUUUCUAUUUCACUUCAAUAUCCUGUUGUGUGAUUGAACCACAAUUGAUUUAGUCAUUCUAAUGUAAUGGACAUUUGGGUUGUUUCCAUUUUUUUGCUAUUAUAAAUAGUGCUCUGGAAGUAUUCUGUUCAUGUCUCCAGGAUUUAUAAAUGAUAGCAAUUUACUGAAUUCCAGGAGUGGAAUUACUGGACUACUAAGUAUAUGAAUGUUCACCUUCAACAAAUAAUGCGAAAUUGUUCUUGGAUGUGAAUAUACUAAUUUCUAGCCCCAUAGCAAUUUACAUUUCACCAGGAUUUUGUCAAUCUUUUAAUUUUUUUCGAAAUUAGUGGGCAUGAAAUGGUAAUUUGUGGUUCUAUUUGCAUUUCCCUUUUUACUAACAAGAUUGAGUAUAUUUUCAUAAAUUUAAUGGGUCAUUUGUGUUUUCUCUUCUGUGAAAUGCCUGUUCACGUUUUUGAAAUUUUUUUUAUUGUAUUAUUUGUCCCCCUAAUUGAUUUAUAGGAUCUGGCUAGUAAUCUUUUGUUUGUUUGUUUUUAUGUGUGAAAAAUUCUGUUAGGAUUUUAUUGGAAUAGUAAUAAUGCUAUAGAUGAAUUUUGGGAGAAAUACAAUUUUACAGUAUUGAAUCUUUCUAUCCAUGAACAUGGUGUUGCUCUCCAUUUGGUUUUCUUAUUGCCUUUUAAUAAGGUGCUAUAUUUUUCUACAUAAAGAUUUUGCAUAUCUUGUGGUAGAUUUCUUUUCAACUACCUUAUAUUUUUCAUUGCUAUUGUAAAUUUUUAAAUUGCAUUUCUAACUUUAUUGCUGGUGUUUAUAAAU